GUGGGAGUUAAGUCAGUUAGGGAGGUUGGGAGUUAACUCCACUUCAAGCCUCUAUGUUGCUUAUGUUGUCACUAUAUUAGGUUGUCUGCCUAUUGCUGGUUCAUACAUGAAUACAAAUGAAUAAUUUGUGAAUGUUUGGUCUGGUUAUUGGUAAAAUAAGAGAUUGUGCUAUUUGCUAGGCCAAGCAGUUAUUGCUUGAAUGUCCGAGGGUUACUUUUUAAAACUAAAUUUCUAAGAUUCUUGGCUAAUCCUACUGCAGAAAGUAAAAUUUCCCCCUCUUUGGGUCCAGUACCUCUCUCCUCAUCCUCCCAUCCUUCCAAGAGCCAGGUGAAAAAGAGUGAGACCCAUGCUAAAAAGGAAAACAGGUCUCCCAAAGGCAGAGAUGAGCAAUCAGUCUGAGAAAGACAACCAGGUAAACUUAGCAUUGUAAAAAAAAAAAUGGUAUAUUAAGACUUUUGGCAAAGCA
rnacentral:lncRNA from 1 species